GAUUAUUUCAGAUAAUAGUUUAGUUAAUCUCAUUAUUUGAUGAUAUCAUGAGCAUAUAUUAGUUACGGCAUUAAUUCCUACUAUUAUUGAUAAUAGCAUAGAAAAAUUUUUCUUUUUAAUAGAUUGAAUUUUUUGGAAUAAAGAGAGUAAUAUAAUACUCAAAUUAGGAUGUUCUGAUCUUAAUAUGAUAUUUUAAGUGGAUAAAUUUUCUCCACUGAUGGAUGAAAGAAUACUAAAAAAGAAAAGAGUAUUUUUGAAAAAUGUGAGUGAACUAUUCAACUUACUUUGCUCUAUAAGAAAUCUGACAUGACAC
rnacentral:lncRNA from 1 species